rnacentral:rRNA from 1 species
GACGAACGCUGGCGGCGUGCUUAACACAUGCAAGUCGAACGGAAAGGCCCUGCUUUUGUGGGGUGCUCGAGUGGCGAACGGGUGAGUAACACGUGAGUAACCUGCCCUUGACUUUGGGAUAACUUCAGGAAACUGGGGCUAAUACCGGAUAGGAGCUCCUGCUGCAUGGUGGGGGUUGGAAAGUUUCGGCGGUUGGGGAUGGACUCGCGGCUUAUCAGCUUGUUGGUGGGGUAGUGGCUUACCAAGGCUUUGACGGGUAGCCGGCCUGAGAGGGUGACCGGCCACAUUGGGACUGAGAUACGGCCCAGGCUCCUACGGGAGGCAGCAGUGGGGAAUAUUGCACAAUGGGCGGAAGCCUGAUGCAGCAACGCCGCGUGCGGGAUGACGGCCUUCGGGUUGUAAACCGCUUUCGCCUGUGACGAAGCGUGAGUGACGGUAAUGGGUAAAGAAGCACCGGCUAACUACGUGCCAGCAGCCGCGGUGAUACGUAGGGUGCGAGCGUUGUCCGGAUUUAUUGGGCGUAAAGGGCUCGUAGGUGGUUGAUCGCGUCGGAAGUGUAAUCUUGGGGCUUAACCCUGAGCGUGCUUUCGAUACGGGUUGACUUGAGGAAGGUAGGGGAGAAUGGAAUUCCUGGUGGAGCGGUGGAAUGCGCAGAUAUCAGGAGGAACACCAGUGGCGAAGGCGGUUCUCUGGGCCUUUCCUGACGCUGAGGAGCGAAAGCGUGGGGAGCGAACAGGCUUAGAUACCCUGGUAGUCCACGCUGUAAACGGUGGGUACUAGGUGUGGGGUCCAUUCCACGGGUUCCGUGCCGUAGCUAACGCUUUAAGUACCCCGCCUGGGGAGUACGGCCGCAAGGCUAAAACUCAAAGGAAUUGACGGGGCCCCGCACAAGCGGCGGAGCAUGCGGAUUAAUUCGAUGCAACGCGUAGAACCUUACCUGGGUUUGACAUGGAUCGGGAGUGCUCAGAGAUGGGUGUGCCUCUUUUGGGGUCGGUUCACAGGUGGUGCAUGGCUGUCGUCAGCUCGUGUCGUGAGAUGUUGGGUUAAGUCCCGCAACGAGCGCAACCCUUGUUCACUGUUGCCAGCACGUUAUGGUGGGGACUCAGUGGAGACCGCCGGGGUCAACUCGGAGGAAGGUGGGGAUGACGUCAAGUCAUCAUGCCCCUUAUGUCCAGGGCUUCACGCAUGCUACAAUGGCUGGUACAGAGAGUGGCGAGCCUGUGAGGGUGAGCGAAUCUCGGAAAGCCGGUCUCAGUUCGGAUUGGGGUCUGCAACUCGACCCCAUGAAGUCGGAGUCGCUAGUAAUCGCAGAUCAGCAACGCUGCGGUAAAUACGUUCCCGGG